UACGAGGGGGGCGAGCGUUGUUCGGAAUUACUGGGCGUAAAGCGCACGUAGGCGGCUUUGCAAGUUAGAGGUGAAAGCCCGGGGCUCAACUCCGGAAUUGCCUUUAAAACUGCAUCGCUAGAAUUGUGGAGAGGUAAGUGGAAUUCCGAGUGUAGAGGUGAAAUUCGUAGAUAUUCGGAAGAACACCGGUGGCGAAGGCGACUUACUGGACACAUAUUGACGCUGAGGUGCGAAAGCGUGGGGAGCAAACAGG
rnacentral:rRNA from 1 species